GUUCAGAGAAGGCAGCUUUCAAAGCAUAGUUCGUUGAGAGGAACCACAUAUGUUGUUCGUCAUAAUACCAGGACAGUGUUUGCAAAUAGCUACUUUCCAGCUCUGCUCAGCUGGACAAGAUGAGGAGAAUGGUAUCCAAGUAGGAAUUUUCUUACCCCAAAUCUGUGAGCUGUUUUCAGCAUUGCUGAUGUGCAAGCUGCUGUUUUGUUCCAACACAGUGUAGGUAAGUCUUGUUGAGCUGGAAGAUGGCUUUCUGGUGUUGCAAGAGCGUUCUGAGCUGUGGAUCACAAGCAGAGAGAGAUGUUUAACUUCAGUUUCACUCCUGACGAAAGUUUUCCUGGAUUUCAGGUUUCUGCCACCAUGGAGCCGGGCAGAGCAUGUCAGGAGAGACGACUGCCUGGCUCACAGCACUCUGGUUAAGGGAAGGCUGGUUCAGUGUAGACCAAAGCAACUGACUGCAGACAACAGUCACUUGACUCUUUUCAGGAGGCUGAAAGUCACCCACAGACAGUCACGCUCCCUGGAGACGACGCAUGGCAGCACAUGGCUGCAGGGAAAAGGCAGGAGCCCCGUGCACGUCGCUGCCCACCUCUGCAAGUCCCCGGAAAGGCUGAUGAGAGGAUGUUCCCGUGCGCCAGUCACGGCUACCAAAGGCAGGUAGAGCUUCUCACUGUAAUCCCAACAACAAAACCAGCUUCACUAAUAAUGAAAUCAGACACUUGGUACAUUGGAAUAUUUUAUUUUGACUUUACAUGCGGUGUUAAAAACCCAAAGAACGUAUUAUUUACACAUCCACAAUACAAGUUUACAAGAUAUCUAUACAUGUUAAAGUACUCUAUAGUAUAGAGCAGCUUCAUUUAAGGGUUACUUUUUUUAUGCCGUACCAUUAAAAAAGAUACAAUCUGCGUUUACCUUUGCACAAAUGGAUAAAGCAUCUUUUAUUAUUAAAUUAACAGAAUAAGGACUAGGUUGAAUGUUAGAAAUUUCAACAUAAAUACUGAGAGAACUCACAUUACCAUCUACAAGGCAGCACAAUGUUACAGGAGGUUAUCAGGGUUCACAUACAUUUAUUGUUCGGUUUCACACAAGUCUGUAUUAAUAUUUGUAAAGUGAAUUCGGAUCAGUUUGUGUCUUUUGACAACCAAGUACAUUUUUAAUAGUUGUUAUUAAUCUGUAGUGUUUUAGUUGCAGGACAGAAGUGUUUAGGAAGAGAGAUCAUUGAUUUUUGGAUCCAGAGGUCUCGGGAAAUAAAUGUCCCUUACAGCCUUACAAGAAAAAAUGACUACUUCUAUCCUCUAUUCUUUGUUCUGUAACAGAGAUCCUCUCUUCAGUGACUAACCUCUUCUCCCCCUUGAACACAUAAUAUAAAUCUCCACCGUCUCUGAAACCCAUUGCAGUUAUCUGUCCCACUAAUUCAUGAAUAUUCCUCUGUCAUGGUUAUUUCUAUAGUUAUGUUCAAUAAACAAUGUGGUAGUGUGUAGUUUGCAAG
rnacentral:lncRNA from 1 species